UAAUUAUAUAGUUUUUGUAAUUUUUUAGUUUUGUCUUUCUAUUGUGGUUUUUAUUUUUAUAUUUUCAUUUUUUUAUUUUAAUGAUAAUGUUUUAGUUGUGUUUUUUUUUUUGGUCAUUUUUAAUAGUUUCUUUUUAUGUCCAUAAAGUUAUUAUUUUAUUUUUAUUUCAGUUUUAGUUGUUUUUGUAAAUUUUUAAGGGUUUUAGUUAACUAUAACCCUGGUCAGAUCUGAAUUCAAGUGUGCAGUGGAUUGUGGGGGAAAACCAACAACAUGAGGAGGCUUUCUGACCUGGACAUGAAGAAGAAGAUCAAGUUCAAUCUCCACAUAUCUCAAUGAUGAUCACAGAGCGUCCAGUGGAAUCUUUUUCUUUCUGCAGAUCCUCGAGACUGAACACCUGCCCUCUGUGUUCUUCCUGUCAUCCAACACCUCGGCGUUACACCUGAAAUUAGAGCACACACACACACCCACAACACACACACACACUCUGGUGUCCUCCAGCGAGAAGCAGGCCUCGGCUUUAGAUCAGCUCUUGAAUCAUAAAAGCUUUGCUUAUUCCGAAAGCAUCCUGAAGAUUUCAGCUGCGUGGCUGAAGGGGCGGCACGGUUUCUGUCCCCUCAUGCAUCUGUGAGCAGCGUGGACGCCUGCCAAACUGUUAAUGGAUAACAACCCCAGGUCCAUCCACCCGUCAUCAGACACAAGCCAGAGCACCCAAACAAUCUGUGUCAAAUCAGAGAGCUGCUUCUGACCUUGAAACUGACACACAUCGAGCGAUAAGUCCACGAUGCUGGAAAACACUUGAUCUGUCUCGUAUGGAAUCAAGGAUUACGAACAGCAGUCUUAAGAGACAAACAGUCUGAUCAAUGCUUUAACACAGCGUCCCGUCCCAAGAAACAGCACAGAGCUGAGGACCAAACCAGUUCUAUUGAUGUGAACCUCGAACAUUGAUAUUGAUUUCCCACCGAUUCAUUUAUUCAGACAUGUGGGUCAUAGUAGAUGCUGAGAUCUGUCCCUUUCAGUGUGCAAGAAGACAGUCGUGUAGGUGCAAAGUUCAUGUUUAUUCAAAUAUAAAAUUGAUCCACUGAUCAUUUAGAUGUGACUGGAUUUUUUUACUUAUUAAAGAAAAAACAAUGUGUGUACACACACACACACACACACACACACA
ensembl:lncRNA